CUACGGGAGGCACCAGUGGGGAAUAUUGCACAAUGGGCGCAAGUCUGAUGCAGCCAUGCCGCGUGUAUGAAGAAGGCCUUCGGGUUGUAAAGUACUUUCAGCGGGGAGGAAGGGAGUAAAGUUAAUACCUUUGCUCAUUGACGUUACCCGCAGAAGAAGCACCGGCUAACUCCGUGCUAGCAGCCGCGGUAAUACGGAGGGUGCAAGCGUUAAUCGGAAUUACUGGGCGUAAAGCGCACGCAGGCGGUUUGUUAAGUCAGAUGUGAAAUCCCCGGGCUCAACCUGGGAACUGCAUCUGAUACUGGCAAGCUUGAGUCUCGUAGAGGGGGGUAGAAUUCCAGGUGUAGCGGUGAAAUGCGUAGAGAUCUGGAGGAAUACCGGUGGCGAAGGCGGCCCCCUGGACGAAGACUGACGCUGAGGCACGAAAGCGUGGGUAGCGAACAGGAUUAGAUACCCGAGUAGUC
rnacentral:rRNA from 1 species